rnacentral:rRNA from 1 species
AUUGAACGCUGGCGGCAUGCCUUACACAUGCAAGUCGAACGGCAGCACGGGUGCUUGCACCUGGUGGCGAGUGGCGAACGGGUGAGUAAUACAUCGGAACGUACCUUAUCGUGGGGGAUAACGCAGCGAAAGCUGUGCUAAUACCGCAUACGCCCUGAGGGGAAAGCGGGGGAUCGAAAGACCUCGCGCGAUUAGAGCGGCCGAUGCCUGAUCAGCUUGUUGGUGGGGUAAAAGCCCACCAAGGCGACGAUCAGUAGCUGGUCUGAGAGGACGAUCAGCCACACUGGGACUGAGACACGGCCCAGACUCCUACGGGAGGCAGCAGUGGGGAAUUUUGGACAAUGGGGGCAACCCUGAUCCAGCAAUGCCGCGUGAGUGAAGAAGGCCUUCGGGUUGUAAAGCUCUUUUGUCAGGGAAGAAACACCGGCUCUAACACAGUCCGGGAAUGAGAGUACCAGAAGAAUAAGGACCGGCUAACUACGUGCCAGCCGCCGCCGUAA